rnacentral:rRNA from 1 species
AUGGGCGUCGACCGGCACACGGGUGAGUAACGCGUAUCCAACCUGCCCACCACUUGGGGAUAACCUUGCGAAAGUAAGACUAAUACCCAAUGAUAUCUCUAGAAGACAUCUGAAAGAGAUUAAAGAUUUAUCGGUGAUGGAUGGGGAUGCGUCUGAUUAGCUUGUUGGCGGGGUAACGGCCCACCAAGGCAACGAUCAGUAGGGGUUCUGAGAGGAAGGUCCCCCACAUUGGAACUGAGACACGGUCCAAACUCCUACGGGAGGCAGCAGUGAGGAAUAUUGGUCAAUGGACGAGAGUCUGAACCAGCCAAGUAGCGUGCAGGAUGACGGCCCUAUGGGUUGUAAACUGCUUUUAUAAGGGAAUAAAGUGAGUCUCGUGAGAUUUUUUGCAUGUACCUUAUGAAUAAGGACCGGCUAAUUCCGUGCCAGCAGCCGCGGUAAUACGGAAGGUCCGGGCGUUAUCCGGAUUUAUUGGGUUUAAAGGGAGCGUAGGCCGGAGAUUAAGCGUGUUGUGAAAUGUAGAUGCUCAACAUCUGCACUGCAGCGCGAACUGGUUUCCUUGAGUACGCACAAAGUGGGCGGAAUUCGUGGUGUAGCGGUGAAAUGCUUAGAUAUCACGAAGAACUCCGAUUGCGAAG